rnacentral:lncRNA from 1 species
AAAAGGGAUUUUCUGACUUGGUGCAGCUCAUGAAGACCACUUGCUCACCUACCCAAAGGCCAAGUGGUAUAGACUGACCAGCUAUACAGCCCAUAAAGUACUUUAUAAUGGCAGAACAAGUAAAAUAGCUGAUGAGUCACUGCCUCUCAAGUUACAUUCGGGCAAGGCUGCUGCUACAAGAGGCCAAGCUGAGUUGUCUAUAAAAGGAGAAAGAGAAAUCAGGAUUAAGGACACUCAAACAAACAAACAAAUGCAAGCACAAACUCUGUUCAAAGCCAGAUUUGCCUUCAAAACGAAGCUGUAGUCAGCCCAAGCCUUCAUCCCUCUCGGGACAAACCUUCACUCAAACCCUUGUAAUAGCUCUGCUACCCUGUUCAACCUUACUGUAGU